rnacentral:rRNA from 1 species
AGUGAACGCUGGCGGUAGGCCUAACACAUGCAAGUCGAACGGCAGCACAGUAAGAGCUUGCUCUUACGGGUGGCGAGUGGCGGACGGGUGAGGAAUACAUCGGAAUCUACUUUUUCGUGGGGGAUACGUAGGGAAACUUACGCUAAUACCGCAUACGACCUAAGGGUGAAAGCAGGGGAUCUUCGGACCUUGCGCGGUUGAAUGAGCCGAUGUCGGAUUAGCUAGUUGGCGGGGUAAAGGCCCACCAAGGCGACGAUCCGUAGCUGGUCUGAGAGGAUGAUCAGCCACACUGGAACUGAGACACGGUCCAGACUCCUACGGGAGGCAGCAGUGGGGAAUAUUGGACAAAGGGCGCAAGCCUGAUCCAGCCAUACCGCGUGGGUGAAGAAGGCCUUCGGGUUGUAAAGCCCUUUUGUUGGGAAAGAAAAGCAGCAGGUUAAUACCCCGCUGUUCUGACGGUACCCAAAGAUUAAGCACCGGCUAACUUCGUG